UGUCUGUGGGUGGAUAGCUUAAUACUGGUUCUCUAAGUAAUUUCAAGUAGCGUAGUUUCUUUGGAAACAUGUUACUAAAUUGUGUGGCAUUACUAAAAAUAUUGGAUUAUGUGACCAAAUAUUAAGUUUUACAUCAUUUAAAUGCAAACUAUUAUUUAAGGGUGAUUGAUAUUAAGGAAAAUAAAUUUUCCAGAAAAUAUUUUCCAAUUCCCAUGUUUUGUUAGAUUAAAUGUUUUAAAAAAUAUUUUCCCCAUAAACUCAUUUUCCUCCAAUUGGAGGAAAAUAUCUCAUCCAUCCACCGCCCCAACCACCAACCCCACACCCACAUUCUGAAUAGAAAUAUUAUUUAGAGUACUUUUUUCAUGUCGUAGAUAAAGUACUAUGUUUUCAUCUCAAUAAAAUGAGUAUUUUUUUUUCAUGAUGUAGAAAAAAUAUUUGCUUUCAUUUCAAUAAAAUGAGUAUUUUCUUUUCAUGAUGUAGAAAAAAUACUCUCAUUUUCAAAAUAAGUACUUUCUUUCAUGUUGUAGAAAAAUAUUUUUAUUUCAACGAAAUGAGUACUUCCUUUUCAUGUUGUGGAAUGAAUACUUUUGUUUUUAGUUAUGGAACUCAAAUUUCAAUGUUGUUCUUGUGUGAAAAAGUAAAGCAGCACAUUAGUUCCUUGGGGUUUCUGUGCAUUUUUAAAAGAAAUAAUUAAAUUCUUCAUGCCAAACACAUCCUAAGUUAAAAGGUAGAUAUUUUCUUAAUAUGGGAUAUAGUUUAGUUAUUAUUUAUAGGCAAAUGUGAUGUCAAAUUUGGUAAUUCUGAUGAUGAUUUCAAGCACUUACCAAAAAGUGCUUUUUUUAGGUGUCUCAUUUUGUUUAUGCAUGAUUAUUAGUUGACACUUGAUGACCUAUCAAAAAAAGUUUAGGUGAAACUUGAUGUUUCAUUGUGCUCAAGUGAAAGUGGAUCCCAUUAGUGGCAAUAAUACAAGUAUUAAGGACGAGGAAGCAGUUUCUUUUGGAGUUGUAUUAACAUAAAUUCUCUUUGGAUAUUUGGUGGAAGAAUUGCAAAUUUUGUGAUUUUUUUAUUUUUCUUAGGACAUGAAUGUUUCAAAUGCUUCAGUCAGACUCUUGAAAAUAUUAGAAUUGCCCACGGCUAUUAAUCUAGAUUUUCCACUGCUUCCAGCAGUGGCUCGUUGGUAAUUCCCUUCCAUAAGUAUGGUAAUUGAUUCCUUGUAAGAAAGACGCGUAUGUACUGAUUGAAAAUAUUAGAAUUGCAAAUUUUGUGAUUUUUUUAUUUUUCUUAGGACAUGAAUGUUUCAAAUGCUUCAGUCAGACUCUUGAAAAUAUUAGAAUUGCCCACGGCUAUUAAUCUAGAUUUUCCACUGCUUCCAGCAGUGGCUCGUUGGUAAUUCCCUUCCAUAAGUAUGGUAAUUGAUUCCUUGUAAGAAAGACGCGUAUGUACUGAAGCGUAGCAGAC
rnacentral:lncRNA from 1 species